CUCAGCACCUCCCAAGUAGCCCUAGAGUUAAACACAUUCAAAGUACAAUCAGUAGCUUUCCAUUCAAAUACAUCAUUGACAUCAUUAGGAAGUGGAAGAGGAAUAGUAGUUAAAUCAGGAGUCUGCCUGUUUCUUCCCCGGAUCUAAAACUCUGGAAAGUAAAGUCAUGAAUAUUAGAACGCAGUACAUAGUUUAGCAGAACUUGUAGCUUUAAAAUUAAAGUCAUAGCAGCAACGAUCGUAGUGGAUCCAAAUUCAUAAAAACAAUUACAACCCACAU
rnacentral:lncRNA from 1 species